rnacentral:rRNA from 1 species
CCUACGGGUGGCUGCAGUGAGGAAUAUUGGUCAAUGGACGCAAGUCUGAACCAGCCAUGCCGCGUGCAGGAUGACGGCCCUAUGAGUUGUAAACUGCUUUUGUACGAGGGUAAACCCCGAUACGUGUAUCUGUUUGUAAGUACCGUACGAAUAAGGAUCGGCUAACUCUGUGCCAGCAGCCGCGGUAAUACGGAGGAUCCGAGCGUUAUCCGGAUUUAUUGGGUUUAAAGGGAGCGUAGGUGGUUUGAUAAGUUAGAUGUGAAAUGUCGGGGCUCAACCCCGAAACUGCCAGUGAUACUGUUAGACUAGAGAAUAGUUGCGGUAGGCGGAAUGUAUGGUGUAGCGGUGAAAUGCUUAGAGAUCAUGAAGAACACCGAUUGCGAAGGCAGCUUACCAAACUAUAACUGACGUUGAGGCACGAAAGCGUGGGUAGCAAACAGGAUUAGAUACCCUUGUAGUC